GAAUGCCAAGAGUGAAAGCUGUCAUCAAAGCAUUUUAGAUUUCAAAGAAUCUAAAAUCUAAAACAUAUUCUGGUUUGUUUAACACUUUUUUGUUUACUACGUAAUUCCAUACAUGUUCCUUCAUAGUUUUGAUGUCUUCAGUAUUAAUCUACAAUGUGGAAAAUACUAAAAAUAAAGCAAAACCACUGAAUGAGAAGGUGUGUCCAAAUUUUUUGACUGGUACUACACACACACACACACACACACACACACACACCUGAACAUCUGAUAUGUCUUGAGUCAGAUUAUAAUUGUUACAGUGAAUGACAGGUAUGAGGAGGAUCACUCAUUUGCGAGCACAAACUAAGAGAGCAGAACAUUAUCUGUUAUCCCAUUCAAGCUUUUAACAAGAACAUUUCAUUCAGGAAGAAGCACUCUCAUACUUUAAUGGCAAAAAAAAAUGACAGUAUAACAAUCUACAGAUACUGCACUGCAAGUAGAGGUCCUCAAUUCAAAAUUCAUUCCAAAUCAUAUUUCAGUGUAGUUCAGUAUAAGCACAGAGGUAUUAUCAAUAAAUGCACUUUAAGUAUCUAAUAAACAUUUAUACAUGUAGAUUAGAUUAGUUUAGUCUAGUGGUUCCCAACCUUGGGUCUGGGCACCUCCCAGUGAGUCACUGAGGAACUGUGAGUAAUGGGACAGGAACUAAAGUUUUGCACACAAAUUUGUUUUCAUUAGCUUUACUUGGCUUUUCUCUAAACUUUGUAUGUUUUGGACCUUGAACAGUUAGUAAUGAAGCCAUCUGAGAAAGGCCGAGGGGAAAUGCCCCUUUGACAGAACAGACAGUGACUGAUUUUUUUUGUAUGGGGUCAGAAUGACAAGAGAUUCUGGAAGUGGAUUUUGGUGCCACACCCUAGCCCCUGGAUGGGAGCUUUUUUCCUUCUUAAGAUGACUUUCCUCCUCUCUCUAUCCCAAAGAGCACCAGUGAGUGUGGAGGCCCCUGGAGUUGUCCUAUUAGCAUUCUCAGUGUACUGGAACUAUGUCUUUGACUGAAAGUAGUUUUAAUAAUAGUUUUUUUUUUUUUUUUUUUUAAUCUUCACAUUGAUGCUUCUUGACAGAGAUGCUGCUGUUGAUUCUGUUUAAUUUGAGUCAAUUUUAAUGCUGUGCACCACAGGCUGGAUACCAUGUCACUCUAUAAAGUUGAACUGAAUUUGGAUGCAUGGCUUACUGCCACUAACAGAGGAGAGUCAGAGAGAAAUCUUUUUGUAAUGUGGGUGACCAGGCCUUUAACACAUAACACACACAAACAGACCCUUUUCAUCGCUUAACGUUAUGGCGUCAUCGCGGAAUCUAACUGCUGCUCUUUCAGUAAAAACUAGUUCUAUUCCGCAGCGUUUCAAUAACACUGGCUAAUUCCAAAACUACUAGCUAAACAUGCUAACUCACACAUAAACGACCAUGAAAAGAAUUCCUCAUUGUUUGGGUAACUGUGUUUAUGACAUAAUGAGCUUCCAGCCGUUCAUCAUUAACCGAGUCCCCCGUGAAAACAGUUUCAUAAGCAAUGGAAACUCUAUUAAUAGCGGAGAAAACAAAUCUUUUUGAACGUUAUGUCAACUUAAACAUGUUAAGUACAAUGUGAAAGAGCCAUGGGGAUUUGAAAACUGAACAUUAAAGUUAACACCAGUUCGAACUGCACUGUGGAAAACAAUGUCGGAAUUACUUUGCUUUAACUCACCUUUGCCCGCUCCGGCCAAAGCGUUAACGACCAAAACGGCAAUAAAAACCACAGCACACACGAUAAUAAUGAAAA